rnacentral:rRNA from 1 species
GAUGAACGCUGGCUACAGGCUUAACACAUGCAAGUCGAGGGGAAACGACGGGGAAGCUUGCUUCCCCGGGCGUCGACCGGCGCACGGGUGAGUAACGCGUAUCCAACCUGCCUCUGACUGAGGGAUAACCCGUCGAAAGUCGGCCUAAUACCUCAUGGUAUCGUCUGCGGGCAUCCAACGACGAUUAAAGAUUUCAUCGGUCAGGGAUGGGGAUGCGUCUGAUUAGCUUGUUGGCGGGGUAACGGCCCACCAAGGCUACGAUCAGUAGGGGUUCUGAGAGGAAGGUCCCACACAUUGGAACUGAGACACGGUCCAAACUCCUACGGGAGGCAGCAGUGAGGAAUAUUGGUCAAUGGGCGAGAGCCUGAACCAGCCAAGUAGCGUGCAGGAAGACGGACCUAUGGGUUGUAAACUGCUUUUAUGCGGGGAUAAAGUGAGGGACGUGUCCCUCAUUGCAGGUACCGCAUGAAUAAGGACCGGCUAAUUCCGUG